rnacentral:rRNA from 1 species
CUGAGAGGAAGGUCCCCCACAUUGGAACUGAGACACGGUCCAAACUCCUACGGGAGGCAGCUAGUGGAAUAGUGGCCAAUGGGGGGUAUCUUGAACCAGCCAAGUAGCGUGAAGGAUGAAGGCUCUAUGGGUCGUAAACUUCUUUUAGAUAGGAAUAAAGAUCAGCAUGUAUACUGUUUUGUAUGUAUUAUAUGAAUAAGGAUCG